UGGCUCUCGCAUCGAUGAAGAACGCAGCGAAAUGCGAUAAGUAAUGUGAAUUGCAGAAUUCAGUGAAUCAUCGAAUCUUUGAACGCACCUUGCGCCCGUUGGUAUUCCGAUGGGCAUGCCUGUUUGAGUGUCUUGAAAUCAUCAACCCUCUUCGGUUUCGUUACCGUACGGUUGGACUUGGGGGUCUUUGCUGGCGAAAGUCGGCUCCCCUUAAAUGCAUCGGUUUGGUAGUCCUUGGCUUAUGCGUCGAACCAGUAGGCGUUGUAUUCACCUCGCUGAGCGUUGUCUGACUGCGGCUUUGGACGCGAUCCUUACCCCGACUUGCCUAUGGAGUGGCGGUCACCUUUUUGAACUCUUGACCUCAAAUCAGGUAGGACUACCCGCUGA
rnacentral:misc_RNA from 1 species